rnacentral:rRNA from 1 species
GAUUUGACGUACUUGUACUGAUUGAGAUUUUAACACGAAGUGAGUGGCGAACGGGUGAGUAACACGUGGGUAACCUGCCCAGAAGUAGGGGAUAACACCUGGAAACAGAUGCUAAUACCGUAUAACAGAGAAAACCGCAUGGUUUUCUUUUAAAAGAUGGCUCUGCUAUCACUUCUGGAUGGACCCGCGGCGUAUUAGCUAGUUGGUGAGGUAAAGGCUCACCAAGGCAGUGAUACGUAGCCGACCUGAGAGGGUAAUCGGCCACAUUGGGACUGAGACACGGCCCAGACUCCUACGGGAGGCAGCAGUAGGGAAUCUUCCACAAUGGACGCAAGUCUGAUGGAGCAACGCCGCGUGAGUGAAGAAGGGUUUCGGCUCGUAAAGCUCUGUUGUUAAAGAAGAACGUGGGUAAGAGUAACUGUUUACCCAGUGACGGUAUUUAACCAGAAAGCCACGGCUAACUACGUGCCAGCAGCCGCGGUAAUACGUAGGUGGCAAGCGUUAUCCGGAUUUAUUGGGCGUAAAGCGAGCGCAGGCGGUCUUUUAAGUCUAAUGUGAAAGCCUUCGGCUCAACCGAAGAAGUGCAUUGGAAACUGGGAGACUUGAGUGCAGAAGAGGACAGUGGAACUCCAUGUGUAGCGGUGAAAUGCGUAGAUAUAUGGAAGAACACCAGUGGCGAAGGCGGCUGUCUGGUCUGCAACUGACGCUGAGGCUCGAAAGCAUGGGUAGCGAACAGGAUUAGAUACCCUGGUAGUCCAUGCCGUAAACGAUGAUUACUAAGUGUUGGAGGGUUUCCGCCCUUCAGUGCUGCAGCUAACGCAUUAAGUAAUCCGCCUGGGGAGUACGACCGCAAGGUUGAAACUCAAAAGAAUUGACGGGGGCCCGCACAAGCGGUGGAGCAUGUGGUUUAAUUCGAAGCUACGCGAAGAACCUUACCAGGUCUUGACAUCUUCUGACAGUCUAAGAGAUUAGAGGUUCCCUUCGGGGACAGAAUGACAGGUGGUGCAUGGUUGUCGUCAGCUCGUGUCGUGAGAUGUUGGGUUAAGUCCCGCAACGAGCGCAACCCUUAUUACUAGUUGCCAGCAUUAAGUUGGGCACUCUAGUGARACUGCCGGUGACAAACCGGAGGAAGGUGGGGACGACGUCAAAUCAUCAUGCCCCUUAUGACCUGGG